CGGGAUUUCCGUAGACAGGGGCUGUCGUGCGCCCUCUCGCGGCUGUGGGCCGACGGCGCCCCGGAGUGCACGCUCAUGGCGGCGCAUGGCACUGUGAAUCACCAAAGGGCAGUCAAGAAGCACCAAGGACCCUGAGAGCAGUCUUCAACCAAUGACACUUGAAAACUGAAGGAUAAAUACAUAUGCCAAGUGUGGUAGGCUGAAGAAUAUCCUCUGAAGAUAUCAGGCCCUGAAACUGGUGAAUUUUGUGUUUUAGAGCCAAAGGUAUGAUUAAGGAUCUUGAGAUAAGGAGAUGAUUCUGGACUGUCCAGGUAGGCCCUAAAUGCGAUCACAUGUAUUCUUAGGGAAACUAGGCAGAGGGGGAUUUCACGCAGAUGGAAGAGGAGGAGACCUUGUGGCCACAGAAGCGGACAGUGCAGUGAUGUAACCACAAGUCAAGGAGAGCCAGCAGCCACCAGAAGCAGGAAGAGGCAAGGAGCAGACUGUCCCGUGGAGCCUCUGGAGGCAGGAUGGCCCUGCUGACUGCAUGAUUCCAAGGAUACUGAUUUCGAACUUUUGGCCUCUAGACCUGUGAGAGAAUAAGUUUUCAUUGUUUUCAGCUACCAAAUUUGUGGCGAUUGUCACAGUGACCACAGAACACUAAUAUACCAAUAUUUAUACCCAUAAGUACACCAAUGUCCUCACUUCUCAAAAGCAGAACAACUCUGAGGCAUCUUCUGUUGUCUCCAGGAGUCUGCAGCAGAGUUGAGCCCUACCUUUAGGGUUACCCACCCAUCAGCCUACUCUGUUAUUGACUUUCUCUUCUCAGUCUCGCUUGCUUAUUCUUCCAUCAGUGGUUCCAGGUCUCUCCUUCAAUACAAACCACAUACUCUCAAAUCCUUCUGUAUGAGUUUCUUGGAGUUGCUAUAACAAAGUACCAUAAACUGUGUGGCUUAUAACAAAAAAAAUUUAUUCUCACAGUUCUGGAGGCCAGAAGUUGGAAAUACAAUAAAGGUGUUGAUUCAGUUGGUUCCUCUUCAGGCCUCUGAGAAGUCUGUUUCAUGCUUCUUUCCUAGCUUUUGGUGAUGGCUGGCAAUUCAUGGCAUUCUCUGGUUUGUAAAUGCGUCUCUCCUAUCUCUGCCUCCAUCUUUACAUAGCAUUCUCCCCUGUCUCUGUGUCUUCAUGUGGCCAUCUUCCCCUCAUGUAAGAACACUAGUUAUAUUGGAUCAAGGACCCAGUUUCAUGACAUUAUCACAACUUGGUAACAUCUGUAAAGAUCCUAUGCCCAAAUAAAGUCACAUUUCUACAUACUGGGGAUAAGAAUUAUAACAUCUUUUGUAAGGCACAUACUUCAACUCAUAACACCUUGACUCAGUGUCAAAUAUGGGGACCCCUAACCUAAGACAAUUAUCACUUAAUAAGCAUUUUUAUUUCCAAAGCAUAAGCAUUUUUAUUUCCCUAAAUAUAAUUAUUUUUCUUCAGUAAUCUUAUGAUAUUGUGUCUAUUUCAAAGUUAAUAAAUCUGAGGAUUAGAUAUUAUGGUGUAGUCAAGUCUGUGUUUUACCAGGCAGGAAAUGUAAUAAGAUGCCAGUUCUACCAGUGGGAGUGGUUUUCAGCAAAAGAGAUCAAAUACCUUAAGCUUUUUCUUUUUUCCCCCCCUCAUCUGCAAUAUUAUAGAUCAGGAAACAAAGAGGGAUUUUCCUAGGGUUGUGAUAAUCUUUUCUAUUUGAGAUUUUGUUGAUAAAUUUAAUGUCUAAGACCUGAUGUUUCCUCUUUCUUUACUUGAAUUGUCUGUUCAGAGCCACUCUUGUUUAUUCAUUGCUUUCCAGAAUCUUUGGGGAAGGGGGAGUAGACUCCACACACAAAGUCAUGUCCAGUUUCUGAUAAUCCCUUUGGCAGCAAUAGUUGCUCACUCUCUGUACCAGCCUCUGCUAGGAGCUCUCUGUGAAAGAGUGUUCUACAAAACAAGGACACAUUGUCUCUGCCUCUAUUCUAAAGCUGCUGGUCCAGGGAAGAUCCCACAUGCUGCGGAGCAACUAAGCCCAUGUGCCACGACUAUUGAGCUGAUGCUUUAGAACCAGGAACUACAACUGCUGAGCCCACGCACUACAGCGACCGUAGCCUGCAUGCCCUAAAGCCUGUGGUCUGCAACAGGAGAAGCCGCUGCAAUGAGACACCUGUGCACUGCGACUAGAGAG
ensembl:lncRNA